UGUGUAGGCGGAUUAAUAAGUCAGUGGUGAAAUCUCUCGGCUCAACCGGGAAACUGCCAUUGAUACUGUUAGUCUUGAGUUCGGUUGAGGUAGGCGGAAUGUGUAAUGUAGCGGUGAAAUGCUUAGAUAUUACACAGAACACCAAUUGCGUAGGCAGCUUACUAGACCGACACUGACGCUGAGGCACGAAAGCGUGGGGAGCGAACAGGAUUAGAUACCCUGGUAGUCC
rnacentral:rRNA from 1 species